rnacentral:rRNA from 1 species
UUAUAAGAGACAGCAGUAGCCACGGUAAAACAGAGGGUGCGAGCGUUAAUCGGAUUUACUGGGCGUAAAGCGUGCGUAGGCGGCUUCUUAAGUCGGAUGUGAAAUCCCUGAGCUUAACUUAGGAAUUGCAUUCGAUACUGGGAAGCUAGAGUAUGGGAGAGGAUGGUAGAAUUCCAGGUGUAGCGGUGAAAUGCGUAGAGAUCUGGAGGAAUACCGAUGGCGAAGGCAGCCAUCUGGCCUAAUACUGACGCUGAGGUACGAAAGCAUGGGGAGCAAACAGGAUUAGAUACCCCAGUAGUCCCUGUCUCUUAUAC